UACGUAGGGUGCAAGCGUUGUCCGGAAUUAUUGGGCGUAAAGAGCUCGUAGGCGGUUCGUCGCGUCGGCUGUGAAAUCCCGAGGCUCAACCUCGGGUCUGCAGUCGAUACGGGCGGACUGGAGUACUGCAGGGGAGACUGGAAUUCCUGGUGUAGCGGUGAAAUGCGCAGAUAUCAGAAGGAACACCGGUGGCGAAGGCGGGUCUCUGGGCAGUUGACUGACGCUGAGGAGCGAAAGCGUGGGGAGCGAACAGG
rnacentral:rRNA from 1 species